GCUCUUUUAAUUAGCGCGUGCAUUUUUGACAGACGAUGUAAUUUGCCUUUGUCUGCGAAGCGGGACGGUGCGAAGAGCACCUGCAGAAUCAAAGAGGGAAUAAAGGUACCAGCAUGGAGCGCAUGUGUAUCCAGGUGCCUGCUCGCGCCGCAAGUAUGCUAGUCCCGUCUCCCGUUCGCCCGGGCUUGCACACACUUCAGUUCAUAUCAAAACAACCUGUAUGGUCCUUGAAGGCUGACCACACACGUUACCUGCCCUCGCAGCCUAUCGCAAAGUACCCCCACCUCCCAUCCUGCUGGGCCAAUGAGGCUUGAAACAGAGCAGACAGACAGAGACAGAGAGGGGGCUUCUACAAGUCUGAAAGCUAGGCUACUGCUGCAGACUGCAGAGCGACAAAGCAGAGCAUCAUCGCUUCACAUCAGGACCAAACCUAUCCCCAAACACCUGGGCUGCGCCUCCAUCCUCACGCCAGCCUGGGAGGCUGAAAGGCCUGAGAAAGUACGAAUAGGGAGGGAGGGAUGGAGGGAAAGCGAGUGGUUUUGCCCAGAAGCACUCAGCUGCCAACAAGAAGCUUC